rnacentral:rRNA from 1 species
ACGCUGGCGGCAUGCUUUACACAUGCAAGUCGGACGGCAGCACAGAGAAGCUUGCUUCUUGGGUGGCGAGUGGCGAACGGGUGAGUAACAUAUCGGAACGUACCGAGUAAUGGGGGAUAACUAAUCGAAAGAUUAGCUAAUACCGCAUAUUCUCUGAGGAGGAAAGCAGGGGACCUUCGGGCCUUGCGUUAUUCGAGCGGCCGAUAUCUGAUUAGCUAGUUGGUGGGGUAAAGGCCUACCAAGGCGACGAUCAGUAGCGGGUCUGAGAGGAUGAUCCGCCACACUGGGACUGAGACACGGCCCAGACUCCUACGGGAGGCAGCAGUGGGGAAUUUUGGACAAUGGGCGCAAGCCUGAUCCAGCCAUGCCGCGUGUCUGAAGAAGGCCUUCGGGUUGUAAAGGACUUUUGUCAGGGAAGAAAAGGCUGUUGCUAAUACCGACAGUUGAUGACGGUACCUGAAGAAUAAGCACCGGCUAACUACGUGCCAGCAGCCGCGGUAAUACGUAGGGUGCGUGCGUUAAUCGGAAUUACUGGGCGUAAAGCGAGCGCAGACGGUUACUUAAGCAGGAUGUGAAAUCCCCGGGCUCAACCUGGGAACUGCGUUCUGAACUGGGUGACUAGAGUGUGUCAGAGGGAGGUAGAAUUCCACGUGUAGCAGUGAAAUGCGUAGAGAUGUGGAGGAAUACCGAUGGCGAAGGCAGCCUCCUGGGAUAACACUGACGUUCAUGCUCGAAAGCGUGGGUAGCAAACAGGAUUAGAUACCCUGGUAGUCCACGCCCUAAACGAUGUCAAUUAGCUGUUGGGCAACUUGAUUGCUUAGUAGCGUAGCUAACGCGUGAAAUUGACCGCCUGGGGAGUACGGUCGCAAGAUUAAAACUCAAAGGAAUUGACGGGGACCCGCACAAGC